rnacentral:rRNA from 1 species
UACGAACUGUGCGAACGUUAUUCGGAAUCACUGGGCUUAAAGGGUGCGUAGGCGGCUUGUUAAGUCAGGUGUGAAAGCCCCCGGCUCAACCGGGGAACAGCGCUUGAAACUAGCAGGCUGGAGUGAGGCAGGGGUGUGCGGAACUUCCAGUGGAGCGGUGAAAUGUGUAGAUAUUGGAAGGAACGCCGGCGGCGAAAGCGGCACACUGGGCCUUGUCUGACGCUGAGGCACGAAAGCCAGGGGAGUGAAC